GAGGAAGGCUCGUCCGCUCUGGGUUAGUCGGGUCCUAAGCUGAGGCCGACAGGCGUAGGCGAUGGAUAACAGGUUGAUAUUCCUGUACCACCUAGUAUCGUUUUAAUCGAUGGGGGGACGCAGUAGGAUAGGCGAAGCGUGCUGUUGGAGUGCACGUCCAAGCAGUAAGGCUGAGUGUUAGGCAAAUCCGGCACUCAUAAGGCUGAGCUGUGAUGGGGAGAGGAAAUUGUUUCCUCGAGUCGUUGAUUUCACACUGCCGAGAAAAGCCUCUAGAUAGAUAACAGGUGCCCGUACCGCAAACCGACACAGGUAGUCAAGAUGAGAAUUCUAAGGUGAGCGAGCGAACUCUCGUUAAGGAACUCGGCAAAAUGACCCCGUAACUUCGGGAGAAGGGGUGCUCUUUAGGGUUCACGCCCAGAAGAGCCGCAGUGAAUAGGCCCAAGCGACUGUUUAUCAAAAACACAGGUCUCUGCUAAACCGUAAGGUGAUGUAUAGGGGCUGACGCCUGCCCGGUGCUGGAAGGUUAAGAGGAGUGGUUAGCUUCUGCGAAGCUACGAAUCGAAGCCCCAGUAAACGGCGGCCGUAACUAUAACGGUCCUAAGGUAGCGAAAU
rnacentral:rRNA from 1 species